UGCCAGCCGCCGCGGUAAUACGAGGGGUGCAAGCGUUAAUCGGAAUUACUGGGCGUAAAGCGCGCGUAGGCGGUUAUUUAAGCCAGAUGUGAAAUCCCCGGGCUCAACCUGGGAACUGCAUUUGGAACUGGGUAACUAGAAUGCAGCAGAGGAUAGUGGAAUUUCAGGUGUAGCGGUGAAAUGCGUAGAGAUCUGAAGGAACAUCAGUGGCGAAGGCGACUGUCUGGGCUGACAUUGACGCUGAGGUGCGAAAGCGUGGGUAGUAAACAGGAUUAGAUA
rnacentral:rRNA from 1 species